rnacentral:lncRNA from 1 species
CACAAUCAAACUAUUAAACAUUCAAAAAUAGCACAUAACAAUCACAAUCAACUAGCAUAUGUGUUUUUCUCUACACGCAUGGUCCAACACGGCAAAGAAACAUAGUCAAAUCUACCCAUCACAUUAACAACAUGUAAAAUCGAUCUAUUUACAUGUCAAACUAAUUAGUCUUUUCAAGUCUAUUUGGAAUUGAGAACUAUAAACGUGAAUCGGAUCGGAUUGUGUUUUAAAACUUGAAUCGAACUCAACAACAAACUACAGUCAACUCAACCACAAACUAAAAUUAAAACCAUAAACGUGGAUCGAAUUGUGUUUUCAAACAAUGCAAUCUCUAUCUACU